ensembl:lncRNA
CUUGGUGGGUUAGUUUUUGUUAGUCGGUUUGCUUUUGCUUGGUGGGUUAGUUUUUAGUCGUCGGUUUGCUUUCGCUUGGUGGGUUAGUUUUUGCUAGUCGGUUAGCUUUUGUUUGGGGGUUAUUUUAGCCAGUUGUUUUGCUUUCAUUUUUGGGUUAGGUUUUGCUAGCUGAUUUUCUUUUCUGUGGUGGGAUUGGUCUUUCCCUAGUUGGUUUGCUUAUGUUUAAUGGGGUUAGUUUUUGCUAGCUGGUUAACGUUUGUCUUAUGGGGUAGUUUUUGCUUGUUGGUUUGCUUUUUUUUAGUGGGAUUAGUUUUUGCUAUUUAGUUUUAUUUUGUUGUUAGUUUUUGCUAGUUGGUUUUGUUUUGUUUGACUCAGUUUAAUUGCGUGCGAAUUCUUAAAAGUCUUAUUUUUUUUAGACUCAGGAUUUGUUUAUUUAUUUAUUUUAGAUUUCCAACAGGAGAUGAUCUGAUUGUGAGUGCCAAAAAAGAAAACCUCGUCCGAAUGUCUCAAUAUCUUCGAAAGAACAAUGCUUUUCUUGUCCUUGCUAGCAUCGACAUUUCUACCAGCCGUCCCUGCUACACGUAAACGUUAGCUACAGUCCCCUCCAAAAGUAUUGGAACAGCACGGCUAAUUCUGUUGUUUUCGCUAUACGUUGAAGAGAUUUAGAUCAGAUUAGAAUUUCUGCUUUCAUUUCCUGAUAUUUACAUCUAGAUGUGUUCAACUGAGUAAAAAAAUCGCACUUUUGGUGGCAGACCACCCAAUAUUUAGGUGAGCAAAAGUAUAUGAACAGGUAGUCUUAAAGUACAUUUAAGCAAAUUGCACUCAAUAUUUGGUUGCAUAUCCCGUGCUUGCAAUAACUGCAUCGAGAUGGAGACUCACUGACAUCUCCAAAUUGUUGCAUAAUUUCCUUUAUGAUGCAUUUCGAGUUGUUGGUUUGUGUGGGAUGGGGCGGUGUGAAAUGCUCAGUCGAGUUCAAUUCUGGUGAUUGACUCGGCAGUGUGUUUUGGAUCGUUGUCUUUGCUGCAUGAUGAAGUUCCUCCUGAUUAAUUUGCAUGCAUCCCUCUGUAAAUUAGCAGACAAAAUGUUCCUGUACACUUCCAAACUCAUUCUGCUGCUCCCAUCAUGAGUUCCAUCAUCAAUAAAGAUUAGCGAGCCUGUUCCAGAAGCAUCCAUGCAACCCCGAGCCGUGACGCUACCUCCACCGUGUUUCACAGACGAGCUUGUAUGUUAUGGAUCAUGAGCAGAUAAAGCUCAUUCUGUACAGAUUUUUCAGUCUCAGUCUUUUCAGUUCUUAAUAGUGUACUAAUGUUUUUUUUUUUGUUGUUUUUUUAAAACGGACCUCAAACCGUCACGUGGAUCGGAGAACGUCUCAGUGCUUUGUUAAUUAGUGCUAGCUACAGGAUGUUCCUUUUAGCGAAUGAGUAACAGCGUUAGUGAGAAGUUCGACACCUUUUGCAUAGUAAUAAAUACGCCAUGUAAAUUAAACGCAUUUCAUUUUAUUAUUAUUAGUUUAUUAUUGUUAUUAUGACUAAAGUGAAACAACAACCCAAGGCUCUCUUUAUUACUCCUUUCAGCUUUCCUCCUUUGAAU